AACGGUCUAUACCUGCGGUACCUGCGGAAGGAUCAUUAUCGAGUUUACAACUCCCAAACCAUUGUGAAUCUUACCUUUUCGUUGCUUCGGCGGGAUCGCCCCGGGCGCUUCGGUGCCCCGGAUUCAGGCGCCCGCCGGGGGACCUAAACUCUUGUAUUAUAGUGGAUUUCUGAGUGGAUUACACAAAUAAUCAAAACUUUCAGCAACGGAUCUCU
rnacentral:misc_RNA from 1 species